GAGGGGAGGCCAGAUCCUGGGCUGUGUCCCUGCGCCCUGUGCUCCCGGCCUGCGCUGUUGGAUUCGGGCUCUCGCCCCGCAGCCCCCU
rnacentral:pre_miRNA from 1 species